CCUGGCUCAGGACGAACGCUGGCGGCGUGCCUAAUACAUGCAAGUCGAGCGAACCGACGGGAGCUUGCUCCCUUAGGUUAGCGGCGGACGGGUGAGUAACACGUGGGUAACCUGCCUGUAAGACUGGGAUAACUCCGGGAAACCGGGGCUAAUACCGGAUGCUUGAUUGAACCGCAUGGUUCAAUUAUAAAAGGUGGCUUUUAGCUACCACUUACAGAUGGACCCGCGGCGCAUUAGCUAGUUGGUGAGGUAACGGCUCACCAAGGCGACGAUGCGUAGCCGACCUGAGAGGGUGAUCGGCCACACUGGGACUGAGACACGGCCCAGACUCCUACGGGAGGCAGCAGUAGGGAAUCUUCCGCAAUGGACGAAAGUCUGACGGAGCAACGCCGCGUGAGUGAUGAAGGUUUUCGGAUCGUAAAACUCUGUUGUUAGGGAAGAACAAGUACCGUUCGAACAGGGCGGURCCUUGACGGUACCUAACCAGAAAGCCACGGCUAACUACGUGCCAGCAGCCGCGGUAAUACGUAGGUGGCAAGCGUUGUCCGGAAUUAUUGGGCGUAAAGCGCGCGCAGGCGGUUUCUUAAGUCUGAUGUGAAAGCCCCCGGCUCAACCGGGGAGGGUCAUUGGAAACUGGGGAACUUGAGUGCAGAAGAGGAGAGUGGAAUUCCACGUGUAGCGGUGAAAUGCGUAGAGAUGUGGAGGAACACCAGUGGCGAAGGCGACUCUCUGGUCUGUAACUGACGCUGAGGCGCGAAAGCGUGGGGAGCGAACAGGAUUAGAUACCCUGGUAGUCCACGCCGUAAACGAUGAGUGCUAAGUGUUAGAGGGUUUCCGCCCUUUAGUGCUGCAGCAAACGCAUUAAGCACUCCGCCUGGGGAGUACGGUCGCAAGACUGAAACUCAAAGGAAUUGACGGGGGCCCGCACAAGCGGUGGAGCAUGUGGUUUAAUUCGAAGCAACGCGAAGAACCUUACCAGGUCUUGACAUCCUCUGACACCCCUAGAGAUAGGGCUUCCCCUUCGGGGGCAGAGUGACAGGUGGUGCAUGGUUGUCGUCAGCUCGUGUCGUGAGAUGUUGGGUUAAGUCCCGCAACGAGCGCAACCCUUGAUCUUAGUUGCCAGCAUUCAGUUGGGCACUCUAAGGUGACUGCCGGUGACAAACCGGAGGAAGGUGGGGAUGACGUCAAAUCAUCAUGCCCCUUAUGACCUGGGCUACACACGUGCUACAAUGGGCAGAACAAAGGGCAGCGAAGCCGCGAGGCUAAGCCAAUCCCACAAAUCUGYUMUCGRGUUCGGAUCGCAGUCUGCAACUCGACUGCGUGAAGCU
rnacentral:rRNA from 1 species